rnacentral:tRNA from 1 species
GCCUGGGUGGCUCAGUCGGUUGAGCGUCCGACUUCAGCUCAGGUCAGGAUUUCAUGGUUUGUGAGUUCAAGCCCCGCAUCAGGCU